rnacentral:rRNA from 1 species
UGCGUAGGUGGUGAGGUAAGUCGGAUGUGAAAUCUCCGGGCUCAACCCGGAAAUGGCAUUGGAAACUACCUUGCUGGAGGAUUUGAGGGGGGAUUGGAAUACUUGGUGUAGCAGUGAAAUGCGUAGAUAUCAAGUGGAACACCAGUGGCGAAGGCGAAUCCCUGGAAAAUACCUGACACUGAGGCACGAAAGUAGGAGGGCGAACA